AUUGAACGCUGGCGGCAGGCCUAACACAUGCAAGUCGAGCGGUAACAGAGAUUAGCUUGCUAAUCUGCUGACGAGCGGCGGACGGGUGAGUAAUGCCUAGGAAGUUGCCCGGUAGAGGGGGAUAACCAUUGGAAACGAUGGCUAAUACCGCAUAAUCUCCAUGGAGCAAAGCAGGGGACCUUCGGGCCUUGUGCUACCGGAUACGCCUAGGUGGGAUUAGCUAGUUGGUGAGGUAAUGGCUCACCAAGGCGACGAUCCCUAGCUGGUCUGAGAGGAUGAUCAGCCACACUGGAACUGAGACACGGUCCAG
rnacentral:rRNA from 1 species